GGUUGAUUUUGCCUGACGUAGACGUUUUUCCCUAAGAUUAACCCAUGCAUGUUUUUGACAUUUGAAAAAUGGACUGCUCAGUAAUACUCCCUUUUUUUUAUGUAAAUUUUUAAUUAACUACGUUAAAGUGUAGAUAAGAUGUUUACAGUAAGAGUGAGACCUUUCAGCUAGUUGUUAAGGUAAUGGCUUAACAAGGCUGUGACGGGUAACGGUAUUACUUUGUAAUAUUCCGGAGAAGGAGCCUGAGAGACGGCUACUAAGUUUAAGGAUUGCAGCAGGGGCGAAACUUGACCUAUGGAUUUUAUUUGAGGCAGUUAUGGGAAGUAAUAUUAUAUUGUUUCAUAUUUUAAAAGUAUAUGAGGUGAUUAAUUGGAGGGCAAAUCAAGUGCCAGCAGCCGCGGUAAUACUUGUUCCAAGAGUGUGUAUGAUGAUUGAUGCAGUUAAAAAGUCCGUAGUUUAUUUUUUUAAGAAGCAAUAUGAGGUGUACUGUAUAGUUGGGAGAAAGAUGAAAUGUGGCGACCCUG
rnacentral:rRNA from 1 species